UGGGGAAUAUUGCACAAUGGGCGAAAGCCUGAUGCAGCAACGCCGCGUGAGUGAUGAAGGCCUUCGGGUUGUAAAGCUCUGUCUUUUGGGACGAUAAUGACGGUACCAAAGGAGGAAGCCACGGCUAACUACGUGCCAGCAGCCGUGGUAAUACGUAGGUGGCAAGCGUUGUCCGGAUUUACUGGGCGUAAAGGAUGCGUAGGCGGAUUUUUAAGUGAGAUGUGAAAACCCUAAGCUUAACUUGGGGACUGCAUUUCAUACUGGAAAAUCUAGAGUGCGGGAGAGGAGAAUGGAAUUCCUAGUGUAGCGGUGAAAUGCGUAGAGAUUAGGAAGAACACCAGUGGCGAAGGCGAUUCUCUGGACCGUAACUGACGCUGAGGCAUGAAAGCGUGGGUAGCAAACAGGAUUAGAUACCCUGGUAGUCCACGCCGUAAACGAUGAGUACUAGGUGUAGGAGGUAUCGACCCCUUCUGUGCCGCAGUUAACACAAUAAGUACUCCGCCUGGGAAGUACGAUCGCAAGAUU
rnacentral:rRNA from 1 species